CUUUUUGUCAUGUAGGAGUACCUGGCAACUUUGCAAAGGACAACAAAUGAUUCCUUCCUAAUGUGAGAGCAGCAGGAGCCAGGCAUGCUGGUGGAAGGCAAAGAAGACUCAGGUCAGCCAAGGGAUUGAGAGCAGCUUUGAUUCCUCAUCUCCUGGUGAAAGAACUGAAGGUGAAGUGAGUUCCCUGAUGGGAGCUCCCAAGGCAAAAGGAGCGGGAACUGGGAAAGAGGGGACAUAACUACCUUCUCUCCGUGAUCAGUGGUUUUCACCAAUAAUUUAAUCUAUUUUUGUCUUUGAUUUUUUUUUUUUGGGGGGGGGGAAUUGUUUUUUGAUAUGCUUGGUUUGGUUUGGUUUGGUUUGGUUUGAACCAGAGAGAACCUCCUGUUUCAAGCUUGGAAUGCUUUAUGCAAUGCAAGUCAAAAUAUUUAAUUUUGAAGUGAGAAAAAAGUAACUACUAGUCAUUCCCUGUACUUAAUUCGUCCCACUUCUUGAUUUGCUUGGGAUUAAUGGCAGAAACUUAAAGUCAGUGCUUGUCAAGAGUGUCACCUUGCUUCCACA
rnacentral:lncRNA from 1 species